rnacentral:rRNA from 1 species
GCAUAUCAAUAAGCGGAGGAAAAGAAAAUAACAAUGAUUCCCCUAGUAACUGCGAGUGAAGAGGGACAAGCUCAAAUUUUAAAUCCGUCGGGUUUCACCUGACCGAGUUGUAAUUUGAAGAGGCGUUUUCCGCGUUUUUGAUCAGUCCAAGUCCUUUGGGAUAGGGCAUCAUGGAGGGUGAGAAUCCCGUUCGGCUGAUCAGAUUCGCUCUACGAUACGUCAUCUAAGAGUCAAGUUGUUUGGGAAUGCAGCUUAAAAUGGGAGGUAAAUUUCUCCUAAGGCUAAAUAACGGCGAGAGACCGAUAGCGAACAAGUACCGUGAGGGAAAGAUGAAAAGAACUUUGAAAAGAGAGUUAAACAGUACGUGAAAUUGUUGAAAGGGAAACGAUUGAAGCCAGUCGUACCGGUGGGUAAUCAGCCUUUCGGCGUGAUUAUGUGGAGCGUGAGGAGUCAAACGCCCUCAUGCCUGCAUAUUCGUGUUCUUUGGGUGUACUUACCCGCAUGGUAGGUUAACAUCAAUUUCGAACGUCAUAAAAUGGUUGGAGGAAUGUAGCUUCGAUCUCGUAUUGAAGUGUUAUAGCCUUCGGCAGAUGUGAUGAUCGGGAUUGAGGAUUGCAACGGAUACCCCUCGGGCUACCCGUCUGAUCUCUGAAAGUUACUCUGGUGCCGAAAGCUCGCUUACGGUCAUCAAAGUUGACGUUCAACAGGUUAGAACGGGAUAAAUUCGUUAAGGAUGUUGACGUAAUGGCUUUAAACGAC